GUGGGGAAUCUUGGACAAUGGGCGCAAGCCUGAUCCAGCCAUGCCGCGUGAGUGAAGAAGGCCUUCGGGUUGUAAAGCUCUUUUACCAGGGACGAUAAUGACGGUACCUGGAGAAUAAGCCCCGGCAAACUUCGUGCCAGCAGCCGCGGUAAUACGAAGGGGGCUAGCGUUGUUCGGAAUUACUGGGCGUAAAGCGCACGUAGGCGGGUCGUUAAGUCAGGGGUGAAAUCCCAGAGCUCAACUCUGGAACUGCCUUUGAUACUGGCGACCUAGAGUUCGGAAGAGGUUAGUGGAAUUCCCAGUGUAGAGGUGAAAUUCGUAGAUAUUGGGAAGAACACCAGUGGCGAAGGCGGCUAACUGGUCCGAUACUGACGCUGAGGUGCGAAAGCGUGGGGAGCAAACAGGAUUAGAAACCCCUGUAGUCC
rnacentral:rRNA from 1 species